rnacentral:rRNA from 1 species
AUUGAACGCUGGCGGCAUGCCUUACACAUGCGAGUCGAACGGCAGCACGGGUGAUUGCUCCUGGUGGCGAGUGGCGAACGGGUGAGUAAUACAUCGGAACAUGUUCUGUAGGGGGGGAUAGCCCGGUGAAAGCCGGAUUACUACUGCCUACGAUCUACGGAAGAAAGCAGGGGUACUUCGGGCAUCGCGCUUUACGGUUGGCCGAUGGCUGAUCAGCUAGUAUGAGGGGGAAGGGCCUACCAAGGCGACGAUCAGCAGCUGCUCUGAGAGGACGACCAGCCACACUGAGACUGAGACGCGGCCCAGACUCCUACGGGAGGCAGGAGUGGGGAAUUUUGGAAAAGGGGCGAAUGCCAGAGCGAGCAAUGCCGCGAGUGAGAAGAGGGCCUGCGUGUUGUAAAGCACUUUUGUCCGGAAAGAAAUCCUUGGCCCUAAUACGGUCGGGAGAGGAGGGAACCGGAAGAAUAAGCACCGGCAAAUUACGU